GCACCACAAGAACGCGUGGAGCAUGUGGCUUAAUUUGACUCAACGCGGGAAAUCUUACCGGGUCCGGACACACUGAGGAUUGACAGGCAAUAUCUCAUGGUUAUUAACCCGGUUAUUACAUUUUGUUUAAUCGGUUAUUAAGCAUCGAGUGUUAAAUAUGCUAGUCCUUUCAUGAUUAUGUGAUAGGUGGUGCAUGGCCGUUCUUAGUUCGGGAGUGAUCUGUCUGCUUAAUUGCGUUUCACUAAGGGCCCAUAAAUUCAAGGUAUGUUAGCUAUCGUCGCUCUAUGGACCCCUUAUACUCGAUUUCGCUUUAAUUAGCGUUAUUUGUUUAAUAAGCGCGCGUCUUUAUUUAAUGAGUUUAAGACACUGCGCAUGCUGUUGGGCUCUGAAAGCAACGAACGGACCGCAACGUC
rnacentral:rRNA from 1 species